rnacentral:snRNA from 1 species
GGAUGUGAGGGUGAUCUGGCUGUGACAUCUGUCACCACAUUGGGUUGAUUUGGCUAGCUAGGCUGGUGUCCCCUUCCUCCCUUACCACUCCAUAUGCGUCCUCCUGAAGCUAUGCACUUGGUUGAAGAGGACAGCCUUCCCCGAAUAGAGAUGGACCAGUCUUUGGUCAAAGGUAUAAGAGUAGCUGCGCUCCCCUGCUAGAACCAACAAACAAGCUAUCAAGAAUAGUGGAGCUUAUGGUGAAAGUCAGUUGAGAGGACAUUCUUGGAUUUCAGGCACAUUUGACCUUAGGAU